GUGGGUGAGCUGGAUGCUGGCUGUUGAAACGUGCACAGUGAGUGUCUCCUGCUUCAGUGCUGUCUCAUCGGGAUCACUGAAUCAUAGAAUCAGAGUUGCUCAGGUUGGAAAAGACCUUAAAGAUCAUCAAGUCCAACUGCAACCUGACCAUACUACCCUAACUCUAACGGAGCUCUGCUAAAUCGUGUCCCUGGUUUGUAGAGCAGAGACUGAUAGGGAUCGAUAUUCAGAAAGGAGCGCAGUUUGGCAGAGGAUGCCAAAGGAGCCUGCUGAGCGUGGCCACAGAUGAUCCCAGCUGAGCGUGGCCACUCACAAACUGAAGAGAACCUCUGUGCUGUGUCAUCAAUUGGAGCUGCAAUAAAUGAUCCUAUAUCAAGCACUGUGUUUUUCAUUCCUCAAAAUGACUUACAAAGUGAGGUAUUCUGAUGGCAUGACUGCAUCACGUGAAUCGGAGCAACUUUUGGAACAAAAAAAAGGGAGUGUAUCUCUAAACCUGAUGGCUGCAGAAUGGGAGGCUUGCAAAUGAGUCCAACACGCGCCAUUAGACCUGGGAAGUCAGGACAAACCACAGAGAAGCUAUGAUGUGUGCAGACAUGCGUGCAGCAAUUUUACAACAGAUAGAGUCGAUCCACCCCGAAGAUGAUGUAUGAUGUGGUUGUGUUCUCUGCCUUG
ensembl:lncRNA